UGAACCGGAAGCCGGGUU
rnacentral:snRNA from 1 species